GGAAGGAUCAUUAACACGUAUAUGCGUUUUAACAAUCCCCCUUCACCCCUCUGUGCACUUUGAGUUUGUUUCUUUUUCGGAAGAAAUUGCUCGACUUUCAAACUCAAAUCCUGGACUGUGAUUGAUCCUUAUGGGUCUUCUGCAUUCUAGGUCGCUUCAAGCUUGUUUGACUCCUCCUUUCUGGGAGUUUGAGUUGAGCAUGCGUGUUAUCGUCUUGUUUCUUUCAACAAGGGAUCAAGACAACAACAGUGGCGUCAAACCAAAACCCUUGAACCUAAUAACUCUGAAACCCCCCUAACAUUUGGUGUGCUUGCACACCGUGUUAACCAAAAAUACAAAAACAACUCUUAACAACGGAUAUCUUGGUUCUCGCAACGAUGAAGAACGCAGCGAAAUGCGAUACGUAAUGCGAAUUGCAGAAUUCCGUGAAUCAUCAAGUUUUUGAACGCAAAUUGCGCUCUUGGUUACUCAAGAGCACGCCUCUUUGAGUGUCGGUUUAACUUCUUCCUGGCAGCGUGCUGUCUUUGUGAAGGCUAUUGAGUUGUCUCUCCUUUCUGUUAAUCAGAAAAGAGAGUCACUUUAAACACAAGGCGAAGUGUGGAACUUUGCUCCUGCAAUGGACCCGAAGACGCAGCUGGUGCUGUUUUCUUGGCGGAUUUCAUUGACGUGGAUAAUUCAUCUCUUCAAUGAGGUGGUCCAAUACGUUGAUGAGCCACCAAAGAAGGCACUGCUUCUGCUAUCAGCUUUGGGAGCAACCCGGCGCAUCAGUAACUGAUCCCUCUUUCGAAGCAUUGAGAGCAGUAUUGUUUCAGCUCUCAACGCACACGGUGACACAUCCCUCAAAAAGAUGCGCACUCAACCACCAAACAGACCUCAAAUGAAGCGAGAGGACCCGGUGAAUUUAAGCAUAUUAUUAACCGGAGGAAAAGAAACUAACAAGGAUUCCCCUAGUAACGGCGAGUGAAGCGGGAAGAGCUCAACUUGAAAAUCGGUAGGGCAUGCGUCCGUCCGAAUUGUAGUCUAGAGACGUUACCGCAAGCGCGGGUGUCGGGUCAAAUUCCCUUGGAAAAGGGAGCCAUAGAGGGUGAGAGCCCCGUCUGCGACUCGUCUGCCUGUGUGUGUCGGUGCGUUCAUCGAGUCGAGUUGCCUGGGAUCGCAGCUCUAAAUGGGUGGUAAAUUUCAUCUAAAGCUAAAUAUGGGCGAGAGACCGAUAGCGAACAAGUACCGUGAGGGAAAGAUGAAAAGAACUUUGAAAAGAGAGUGAAAAGUACUUGAAAUUGUUAAGAGGGAAGCACUGGAAGCCAUUCGGGCCGCGUCUCUAGGGUGUUAGCUCUUGCAUAAGGAGCUGGUGCCUGUGUGGGGCGUGGUUGGGGUCAGCAUCAAUUUUUGGCGCGGGAGAAGGUCUGUUUCGCGGUAGCUUCGGCGAAGGGAACGGACUCUACCAGCUGUCGGAGAUUGAGGUACGACAACACGCAUUCGGUCUGGGGGUUGGCGGUGUUCUGGCGGACUGCGGAGAAGAUUCUUCUGCGUGGCUUGCUCGGGGCGCUCUCUGGCUUCUGUGACCAGCUGUGUUCGCGAUGCUGACGAUACGGUUUUCAUUGACCCGUCUUGAAACACGGACCAAGGAGUCUAACAUAUAUGCGAGUAUUUGGGUGCAAAACCCUGGUGCGCAAUGAAAGUAAUCUGGGUAGGAACCUGGGCCUGCAAGGGUCUGGGUGCACUAUCGACCGAUCGCGCAAGCGAUCUUGAGUAAGAGCAUAUCUGUUGGGACCCGAAAGAUGGUGAUCUAUGCCUGAACAGGGUGAAGCCAGGGGAAACUCUGGUGGAGGCUCGUAGCGAUACUGACGUGCAAAUCGUUCGUCUGAUUUGGUAUAGGGGCGAAAGACUAAUCGAACCAUCUAGUAGCUGGUUCCCUC
rnacentral:misc_RNA from 1 species